AGUGAACGCUGGCGGUAGGCCUAACACAUGCAAGUCGAACGGCAGCACAGUAAGAGCUUGCUCUUACGGGUGGCGAGUGGCGGACGGGUGAGGAAUACAUCGGAAUCUACUUUUUCGGGGGGGAUAACGUAGGGAAACUUACGCUAAUACCGCAUACGACCUACGGGUGAAAGCAGGGGAUCUUCGGACCUUGCGCGAUUGAAUGAGCCGAUGUCGGAUUAGCUAGUUGGCGGGGUAAAGGCCCACCAAGGCGACGAUCCGUAGCUGGUAUGAGAGGAUGAUCAGCCACACUGGAACUGAGACACGGUCGAGACUCCUACGCGAGGCAGCAGUGGGGAAUAUUGGACAAUGGGCGCAAGCCUGAUCCAGCCAUACCGCGUGGGUGAAGAAGGCCUUCGGGUUGUAAAGCCCUUUUGUUGGGAAAGAAAAGCAGCAGGUUAAUCCCCCGCUGUUCUGACGGUACCCAAAGAAUAAGCACCGGCUAACUUCGUG
rnacentral:rRNA from 1 species